GCAACAACACAUCUGAAAGACUGCAAUUGAAUUGAAGAUGAGAGAGAAUUGAUGUGUGAGAAAUGGAGGAACACGAAGAGCCAUCGUCUCCAGGAGUCAGUCCGGUACUACUCAAAGAAUGCAUAGAGGAGGUGCUCAACUUUACACUCGCGUCCUUAAUCGACGAAACCCUAGGAUUCGAUAUAGGCCUUUCAAAGGAGUACUGUUCUAACCUCCUCAAGAACGACCCUGCAAACCCCAAUUGCAAUCACACCGAUUUUUCCGGAGGUGUUUCUCAAUAUCCUCUACGCAAGCCUCUAGCAUCAGCUUUGUACCAGUCUAUAUCUUCUGGAACUUUGAUCCAUGAAGACAGUUCCAUGAAGCAGAAAGAAGAAAAGUGGAAUCAAUUGGUUCUAGCAAAGGGGUCUGAAUUAGUAAAUAUGUUGAAAACUAUUGACUUUGAACUUCAUGUUCAGGAGCCUUUCUUUUCCCAGCUCAAAGAUGGCCUAAAAACAACUGAAGGAAGAUGUGCUGUUGGUGACUAUAAUAAAAUUGGAUCAGGAGCACUGCUUCUCUUCAACAAGUGUUUCGUGCUUCAAGUUCAGGAUGUCAUCAGGUAUGCUUCGUUUUCUGAGAUGUUGGAAGCAGAGAGUCUAGCAAAAGUCCUUCCUGGAGUAAAAACCACAGAAGAAGGUGUGCGGAUUUACCGGAAGUUUUACACAAAAGAGAAGGAAAGGUCAAAUGGAGUCCUUGCAAUUCGUGUUACGAAGCCAGCUGCUCAGCUUUACAUUCCUUUGGCUAGCAUACUUUUGGGAUUGAGUUACGAGGGUGUUCAGAGGCUUUUGGGUCUCACUCGUACAGCAGGAACAAUUCCAGAGGCGCUUCCUCCGCCAAGAUCAACUCUGCUUUUGUCAUUUUUGUUGCCUCAUAACCCAGAGGUUAAAGGUAGCAUCUUGACUGAUGGAGCUAGGGCCUUAGCUAAGCACAUCAACAGGAGCAGUGAUGGAUACUGGGGUAGUUUCAAUGGAAGUGAUUCCGAUAAAAACAGACUUGCUGUUGAUAUCAUUAGUCACUUAAUAGAUCAUUGUUACUGGCAAAAUAUGCAUAUUGUUCCACCACAUGGGGUGGUCUUUGAGAUAAGGAUUGCUGAUGGUUAUGGUGCUCGAUGGUCUGAAGACGGAACAAAGGAUUUGCGGCUAGAGAAAAGCUAGAAUUUUGAAUAACCUCAGACUGAAUCUCAAUAUUGUGCAGUUAAAAAUCAGAUCUUGACGACCCAAUCUCCAAAGAAUUUGCAGGAUAUAAGUGGUGAAAAAACUUCCUAUGGAUGUUGAAAAAAGUUCUCUCAGAUAACACUGGACAAGCCACAGUUUUGAAAUGAUUCCCUGUAAAACAACAUUGGCUGCCAUCAGGUGGACUAAAAUUCGCCUGUUUAAAGAUUACACCUAGCAAACAAUAGGAAAUUGUAUAAACAGUUCAUUGGAUUUCUUGAACCAUACAUGAUGGAAGGCCACUCAAAAGGAUGGAUGCACUGACUUUACUCCAGGAGACAGUUACUUUGGCCCUCUCAACUGUGAAAGUGUGCCUUAAGUGGGAAUUGUUCUAUUCUCACAUAGUCAUAACUAGAAGACAUCAAGUAUAAGCACAAGUCUCAACUCUCAAAAUUUUCAGGCUGCAUGUAUGCUCUUUCCUUUUAAAACUGAAACCAAACAUUCAAUGUACUGGCAGGACAUGGUGUCAGUCCUUGACCCAUGCACGCUGUAAUACCCCUAAUUUUAAAAGGACAGUUCUGGAAUUUAAUUUAAUUGUUUAAUUGCAUUUUUAAU